rnacentral:lncRNA from 1 species
CCCAUGACCAAUCUCUCAUGCACAUGAUGUUGCUCUGAUACCACUGUUGGAGUUUUAUGAUUUCUUGCAUGCAUGAUUUUCUAAAAUAAGUACACAGUAAAAUUUAAAAAUUUUUAGAUUAAAUCUAAUUUAAUCUAAGCACGUAUAAGAUCAAAUUUUCAUACCAAAAAUAGGAUCAUCAUAUAUGAAAUAAGAUUCAAAUACAUAAAUCAAAAAGAGAAAAUAAAUUAAAACAUAUCUGGAUAUGGAUCAAUCUUCAACGUGAACAGAUGAUCAUGGAUAUC